UACGGAGGGAGCUAGCGUUGUUCGGAAUUACUGGGCGUAAAGCGCGUGUAGGCGGGAAGAUAAGUCGGGUGUGAAAUCCCUGGGCUCAACCUAGGAACUGCAUUCGAAACUGUCUUUCUGGAGUGAUGGAGAGGAAAGCGGAAUUCCCGGUGUAGAGGUGAAAUUCGUAGAUAUCGGGAGGAACACCAGUGGCGAAGGCGCUUUCUGGCCAUCAACUGACGCUGAGACGCGAAAAGCGUGGGGAGCAAACAGG
rnacentral:rRNA from 1 species